GGUUGUGUAGUGUAGUGGUUAGCACUCGGGAUUUUGAUUAGAUAUCAAAAGGUUUUCCCGCGACCCCGGUUCGAUCCCGGGCACGACCU